rnacentral:rRNA from 1 species
CGGCGGACGGGUGAGUAAUGCCUAGGAAUCUGCCUGGUAGUGGGGGACAACGUUUCGAAAGGAACGCUAAUACCGCAUACGUCCUACGGGAGAAAGCAGGGGACCUUCGGGCCUUGCGCUAUCAGAUGAGCCUAGGUCGGAUUAGCUAGUUGGUGAGGUAAUGGCUCACCAAGGCGACGAUCCGUAACUGGUCUGAGAGGAUGAUCAGUCACACUGGAACUGAGACACGGUCCAGACUCCUACGGGAGGCAGCAGG